UUUUCAGGAUCCCUUCUCGUCUGCUGCCUAGAUUCUUUGGAAAGUCCUCUCCCUUGAAUCAUUCCCCCUACCUUUUAUCUGGGGCUCUGUGGCAGGGCAUCAAUGGUGCCUGCCACUUUAAGGGCUAGAUCAAACACUCAGCAGGUGUUUGAUUGCAGUAGCCAUUUUAGAACUCUAGCCACCUAUAUAAACAAGAGCAGCUUACUGCUGGGAGUCAGGCAAGAAACAUUCAUUGCCUGGCUGAGCUGCUGCAUGGGAACAUCUUGCAGAAUCUCUGUGGUAUGUCUGUCUUGAAGGAUCAUGUCUUGGAAUUGGUUGGCCCUGAGCUCUGCUGCCCUUAAAGGAGAAGAACCAUCCUGUUACCUUCUUAUAUUUUACAGUUCUACUGUUUUACUAAAAUUUGAAGAAAUGGAGAUAUUGCUGCCAAGAUGGAAAGUGGAAGAGAAACUUGGUAAAAGGAGAAAGUUGAGUUUUCUGUUUUGUUUUUGUUUUGUUUUCAGUAGUCUUUUUUUUUUUUUUUUUUUUUUUUUUGG